rnacentral:rRNA from 1 species
CCUACGGGGGGCAGCAGUGGGGAAUAUUGGACAAUGGGCGAAAGCCUGAUCCAGCCAUGCCGCGUGUGUGAAGAAGGCCUUCGGGUUGUAAAGCACUUUCAGUGGGGAAGAAAGCCUUGGGGCUAAUACCCUCGAGGAAGGACAUCACCCACAGAAGAAGCACCGGCUAACUCCGUGCCAGCAGCCGCGGUAAUACGGAGGGUGCGAGCGUUAAUCGGAAUUACUGGGCGUAAAGCGCGCGUAGGCGGUCUGAUAAGCCGGUUGUGAAAGCCCCGGGCUCAACCUGGGAACGGCAUCCGGAACUGUCAGGCUAAAGUGCAGGAGAGGAAGGUAGAAUUCCCGGUGUAGCGGUGAAAUGCGUAGAGAUCGGGAGGAAUACCAGUGGCGAAGGCGGCCUUCUGGACUGACACUGACGCUGAGGUGCGAAAGCGUGGGUAGCAAACAGGAUUAGAUACCCUAGUAGUC